rnacentral:piRNA from 1 species
UGAAGAGAAGGCGCCAGCAGA